rnacentral:lncRNA from 1 species
UGCAAAUAUCACUUCAAUGUAUGCAUAGGAAUGCAAUGUGUAGGUACUCUAUCUUCAUACCUCUGGGGGUAUAAAACCACAUCAUCUGCAAAUAUCACUUCAAUGAAUGCAUAUGAAUGCAAUGCAUAUGUCCUCUGCCUUCAUACCUCUAAGGGUAUGAAGCCGCAUCGUACCCCUUCUCGGGCAACGUACGAUGCUAAGUUGUACCGGUACGGUCGGACCAUAGGUCACGACAAAACUUCAUAUGCAAAUGAGUCAUGCAAUGUAUAUGGCAUGCUACAUUUAUCAAUAAACUUUACUUCCUUCAGAUACAACACAAACUCAAAUAAUACUUCAUUUACCUUCAGAUACAAUACCAACCUCAAAUAAUACUUCAUUUACCUUCAGGGGUGUGAAUUAAUCUCAUGAGUCAUACUCAAAUCAUAAUCAUCAUCAAUAUAUGAUUGAGCAUCAGUAUAAUGCAAGCAAGUAAAGCAUCACCAUAGAGUCCAAUUAUGAAAGAAUCUGAUACAUCUGAAUAUUAGAGUGUAGGCGAUAGAAAUAACAGGUCAGAACGGAAGCAACCACCGCUACAUUCACUUGCCUUCAUCGAAGAAGAAGAAAUGUACUAGACAUGAUCUGGAGUGUAGCCACCUGCUAGUGGGCAUAAAACUUAGUACAAAUAUUUCACAAACAUUUGCCAUCAAUCAACAAAACACUCCUACACUUGAAACCAAGACCCAGUGGAAAGACUCCCACCCUGAACCACAUGCCAUACAACAGCAACGCUGUUUGUUAAUUUUGUAUCUUUAAAAUUAAAACAGCGGUGAUAUCAAACAAAUACUCUAGGAGUAUCUACACAAAAUACUCUACAACUUCAGUAUUCAAUAGAUAAUUAAAUUCUGCCAUCUACAAGUUCUAAAACAUCUGACAAGAUAACUGACUGAAUCUGUUUUAGACAGCAGUAUGGUUAACUUUAAAAUUCGAUAUCUCCAAAACUGCUGAACCAAAAAUUAUGAAAUUCUUCUGGAAGUAAGAACUUUUAUCCCUCUACAAAAGUCUCCAUAGUUGGAAGAGCCAAUUCGGCCAUUUACUAGAUGAAACCCACCAGUGAACCGACCCACUCAUUUUUGUCAGGUAAACAGGAACAGCCACAGUAAAACAAACAUAACUGGAGUUUCACAAAUCAUAUGAAUGCACUCUUUAACAAUCUGGAAAGCUUAUAAAAUUAUCUACAACUUCUUUUACCAACCCACAGUUUAAUUCUGUUGAUAAAAUUGCCUAAAUCUUAAGAGAACAGAUUCUGCACAGAAUUAUGAGACUGAAAAACUGCUAUAGUAAAACUGCAAUAACUUUCUGGUCGGAUGUCCGAUUGAGGUGUUCUUCGCGGCCACGGAAAGAUCUACAAAUUAUCUACGACUCAUACAUAGACUUUUUAUUUUUUUGAGGCCACUAAGACCACGGAAAACUGGCAUGAACAGAAACUGUCGAAUCUGCCAUUCUGCAGAAAACUAAAUUCGAGAUCAAAACCUAACCCCACAUCAAAUCCAACCUCUAAUCCUUUAAUUCCCAUGAUCCACAACCUCCAAAAGCCUAUAAUUACAGGGAGGAACAAGGAUCUCAUCCAUACCUAGGGUUUCCCCAAGAAAUCUUCAAGAGGAGAUGGGGAAGAACAUCUCCUUGAUCCUCUCUUCCUCUUCAAUUCAAUGUGCCCCUCCUUUUCUCGAUCCUUGCUGCGUAGGGGGAGAUCUUGGGGGAGGAAGCAAUGGAGGAUGGCUGCCAUAGGGGGAGGGGGCGUCCAGCCAAGGGGGAGAAAAAGGGGGUGGCGGCCAAGAGGGGGUUGAAGGGAAAAAAGGGGUGGCCACCUAGGGUUUUUGUGGGAGAAAGAAACGACGCCUCAGAUGACUUCUAUCUUUGCAUCCAAUGGCCCACAACCCUUUACCUCAUCCACGCACCAGAGAUUAACUUUUGGUCAACAUUUUUUUUGGGAUAUUACACUCUACCCCCCUUAAAAAGAAUUCGACCUCGAAUUCGGCCACUCCAAGCAAAACACCCAAGGUACCCCAUAUAGCACCACAAUUCAAAACAUGGGUCCAUUAUUGGUCUUAAUUAACACAAGAACUUCUACCUUGGACUAAUUGUCUAAGGAAACUACACGACCUGACAUCAAGCAUGAAACAUGUAAUGAAGCUCAAAGCAUGUCAUAGUUGCAAUCAACACUCCAAUUUCACACCAUCAAAUUUGGAUGCAGCUAUACAUCAACAUCAAUGUCUUAAGACAACACUCUUUUAUGAAGGGGUAAUAUGCACCAAGCACAACCCUUACCAACUUCAACCAUUAAUUUUAAUUAAAUGGUGAAACAUCUACACCCGACGAAUGUAUAAGAAGAUCAAACACCUCACCUUAAAGCACUAUGAAACAAGUAGUUCUAUUGGAACAAAACUCCUAAUCUUCCUAAACCUUAUUCUUGCCAUCAUGAAAAGAUAAUCAUGUAAUCUAACAUUCCUUGCACCCCACCAAAAGGGAGAAAAUCUAUAGAACUAAUGGAGCAAUAAAGCCAAAAGAAGCCAAUAACAUCUUGUGCGGCAUAGUUCAUCGAAGAAAUGCCAAAAACUCUACAUAGAGCACUGAUAGCCCAACAACAACACAAUACUUGCUUAACCCAUGUCACUAUACUUCAUUCAACAUCUCAACUAAGAAAAAUAUCCAACUAGUAAGGAUAACCUACACAUAAUAUAAGUCUUCAUCUACUGUAGUUCAGAAACUUACAUUUCAUUCUAUCAUACGAUGCACUCAAAGUACCAGACAUACAAAGUCAAUAAUAAUAACCCCUAAUCCUUCACACAUUUGACAAACAUAUUAAGCUGAUGUAAACACCACAUGAUCUAGGAAUAGGUGACUAGCCACACCCAACCAACUCUAGGCUAGGCAAGGACUUCCUUCAAACCAAUAGAUAGGUGGUCUAAAAAAAUGGCUCCACAAGCAUGCAUCGAAAAGGGAACCAUCAGAUCCUCAAUGUAUCAAUACAUAAUCAAUGGAUCAAGAGAAUCAAAAAUUUAUUCUACAAUUAGUAUGACUAACAGGCAACCACUUUAAACCACAUCUAGGCUUUGUGGCAACUAAAACACACAAUAUGAGAGAGACAUGUAAGCCAUUCUGGCUAUGAAAAGACUUCCCCCAAAAAUCCAUAUAAAGUACCAAUAUUCAUUUCUUUCAAAACUGGUUUCUCAACAUAAACAAUCAUUCUUUGCAAUGAUAGUUGGAGCUAUCCACCAACCGCUCAACAACUUAAAUUCAAAUUGAUGAUUACCUUGUACCCCAAAACACGCAAUUCACACUCCUCUUAGAAACAUCCACAAUCAAGCAUAUAUAACAAUAUUAUUGUAAUAAAACUCAACCAUGAAAAACAUGGUGAAAACAACAUAGGCAUACUUGUAUAUCACAAGCAUAAUAACAACUUCAUUCUCACCAAUGACCAGCAAUAUCUACCACAUUAAUAAAACAAUAUCAAAAUUUCAGAAAUAAAUUAUAUCAAGCAUUAAGCCAUAAACAACUUACCACAUCACCGUAAAGGAAUAGGGAGGGGUGAAACUAUUGUCAUCUGCACUCCAAAGACAUUAAUAUAUAUCAAAGAUAUUUGAACCCAUACCCUUCCUAUAUGUGCAAGUGUGUCAAAUUUAUCUUCAAAUUGCCAAGAAUCUAAAGCCUAUGCUUUGAUACCAACUGUAACACCCCGGGAUCCACAAACACCCCAGAAUGCUACUAAACUACACAUCUAAUAUUCAUAUAUAAAAUUUCGACAACAUCUCCUUUGAAAAUUGCAUAAACGGGGGAAGCAACAAAGUAUAAAUAGAUAUCAUGAUAAGAAAACAUAUAAGACAUUAAUAAUCUGCUAGCAAUGGGAAGACAACCAUAACAACAUGAACUGAAUUAAUCAGUGCGCACGACUAGUUAAAAACAAACAUCCUUUGACAAGAAGUUUCUAAUUAAAUCAUGGCUGCGUCUGGGCAGCAUUAUUAUGAGAAUGAAGGUGGAUGUGCUGCUACUUCCCACUCCCCUUGAUGAGCAACAAGCACCUGCAUUGAGUAAUGCAAGAGUGAGAUGAAACAUCUCAGCAAGCUAAUUGUUCUGACGAGAUAUUUAAACCACAAAUUGAAUUCAUCAACAUUUUAAAAGAGUCACAAUUAAAAAUCAGAAAUGCUUGUAGAUAUAGAACUCAGUAGUCCCACUAUAACCAAUACCAUCUCAUUUCCUCGAACAACCACAAUAGGUUCUAUAACACUUCCCUGCGUCAACAAUACCUGCAAAUAUCACUUCAAUGUAUGCAUAGGAAUGCAAUGUGUAGGUACUCUAUCUUCAUACCUCUGGGGGUAUAAAACCACAUCAUCUGCAAAUAUCACUUCAAUGAAUGCAUAUGAAUGCAAUGCAUAUGUCCUCUGCCUUCAUACCUCUAAGGGUAUGAAGCCGCAUCGUACCCCUUCUCGGGCAACGUACGAUGCUAAGUUGUACCGGUACGGUCGGACCAUAGGUCACGACAAAACUUCAUAUGCAAAUGAGUCAUGCAAUGUAUAUGGCAUGCUACAUUUAUCAAUAAACUUUACUUCCUUCAGAUACAACACAAACUCAAAUAAUACUUCAUUUACCUUCAGAUACAAUACCAACCUCAAAUAAUACUUCAUUUACCUUCAGGGGUGUGAAUUAAUCUCAUGAGUCAUACUCAAAUCAUAAUCAUCAUCAAUAUAUGAUUGAGCAUCAGUAUAAUGCAAGCAAGUAAAGCAUCACCAUAGAGUCCAAUUAUGAAAGAAUCUGAUACCUCUGAAUAUUAGAGUGUAGGCGAUAGAAAUAACAGGUCAGAACGGAAGCAACCACCGCUACAUUCACUUGCCUUCAUCGAAGAAGAAGAAAUGUACUAGACAUGAUCUGGAGUGUAGCCACCUGCUAGUGGGCAUAAAACUUAGUACAAAUAUUUCACAAACAUUUGCCAUCAAUCAACAAAACACUCCUACACUUGAAACCAAGACCCAGUGGAAAGACUCCCACCCUGAACCACAUGCCAUACAACAGCAACGCUGUUUGUUAAUUUUGUAUCUUUAAAAUUAAAACAGCGGUGAUAUCAAACAAAUACUCUAGAAGUAUCUACACAAAAUACUCUACAACUUCAGUAUUCAAUAGAUAAUUAAAUUCUGCCAUCUACAAGUUCUAAAACAUCUGACAAGAUAACUGACUGAAUCUGUUUUAGACAGCAGUAUGGUUAACUUUAAAAUUCGAUAUCUCCAAAACUGCUGAACCAAAAAUUAUGAAAUUCUUCUGGAAGUAAGAACUUUUAUCCCUCUACAAAAGUCUCCAUAGUUGGAAGAGCCAAUUCGGCCAUUUACUAGAUGAAACCCACCAGUGAACCGACCCACUCAUUUUUGUCAGGUAAACAGGAACAGCCACAGUAAAACAAACAUAACUGGAGUUUCACAAAUCAUAUGAAUGCACUCUUUAACAAUCUGGAAAGCUUAUAAAAUUAUCUACAACUUCUUUUACCAACCCACAGUUUAAUUCUGUUGAUAAAAUUGCCUAAAUCUUAAGAGAACAGAUUCUGCACAGAAUUAUGAGACUGAAAAACUGCUAUAGUAAAACUGCAAUAACUUUCUGGUCGGAUGUCCGAUUGAGGUGUUCUUCGCGGCCACGGAAAGAUCUACAAAUUAUCUACGACUCAUACAUAGACUUUUUAUUUUUUUGAGGCCACUAAGACCACGGAAAACUGGCAUGAACAGAAACUGUCGAAUCUGCCAUUCUGCAGAAAACUAAAUUCGAGAUCAAAACCUAACCCCACAUCAAAUCCAACCUCUAAUCCUUUAAUUCCCAUGAUCCACAACCUCCAAAAGCCUAUAAUUACAGGGAGGAACAAGGAUCUCAUCCAUACCUAGGGUUUCCCCAAGAAAUCUUCAAGAGGAGAUGGGGAAGAACAUCUCCUUGAUCCUCUCUUCCUCUUCAAUUCAAUGUGCCCCUCCUUUUCUCGAUCCUUGCUGCGUAGGGGGAGAUCUUGGGGGAGGAAGCAAUGGAGGAUGGCUGCCAUAGGGGGAGGGGGCGUCCAGCCAAGGGGGAGAAAAAGGGGGUGGCGGCCAAAAGGGGGUUGAAGGGAAAAAAAGGGGUGGCCACCUAGGGUUUUUGUGGGAGAAAGAAACGACGCCUCAGAUGACUUCUAUCUUUGCAUCCAAUGGCCCACAACCCUUUACCUCAUCCACGCACCAGAGAUUAACUUUUGGUCAACAUUUUUUUUGGGAUAUUACAC